rnacentral:rRNA from 1 species
AGACGAGAGUAGCUUGCUACGAACUGUUUUAGCGGCGGACGGGUGAGUAACGCGUGAGCAACCUUUCCCAGACAGGGGAAUAACACACCGAAAGGUGUACUAAUACCGCAUAAGACCACGGUUUCACAUGGAACUGAGGUAAAAGAUUUAUCGGUUUGGGGUGGGCUCGCGUCCGAUUAGGUAGUUGGUGAGGUAACGGCCCACCAAGCCGACGAUCGGUAGCCGACCUGAGAGGGUGAUCGGCCACAUUGGGACUGAGACACGGCCCAAACUCCUACGGGAGGCAGCAGUGGGGAAUAUUGGGCAAUGGAGGAAACUCUGACCCAGCAACGCCGCGUGGAGGAAGAAGGUUUUCGGAUCGUAAACUCCUGUCCUUGGAGACGAGUAGAAGACGGUAUCCAAGGAGGAAGCCCCGGCUAACUACGUGCCAGCAGCCGCGGUAAUACGUAGGGGGCAAGCGUUGUCCGGAAUAAUUGGGCGUAAAGGGCGCGUAGGCGGCUCGGUAAGUCUGGAGUGAAAGUCCUGCUUUUAAGGUGGGAAUUGCUUUGGAUACUGUCGGGCUUGAGUGCAGGAGAGGUUAGUGGAAUUCCCAGUGUAGCGGUGAAAUGCGUAGAGAUUGGGAGGAACACCAGUGGCGAAGGCGACUAACUGGACUGUAACUGACGCUGAGGCGCGAAAGUGUGGGGAGCAAACAGGAUUAGAUACCCUGGUAGUCCACA